rnacentral:rRNA from 1 species
UACGAAGGGGGGCUAGCGUUGCUCGGAAUUACUGGGCGUAAAGGGCGCGUAGGCGGAUACUUAAGUUAGAGGUGAAAGCCCAGGGCUCAACCCUGGAAUAGCCUUUAAUACUGGGUAUCUUGAGUUCGGGAGAGGUGAGUGGAACUCCGAGUGUAGAGGUGAAAUUCGUAGAUAUUCGGAAGAACACCAGUGGCGAAGGCGACUCACUGGCCCGAUACUGACGCUGAGGCGCGAAAGCGUGGGGAGCAAACAGGG